rnacentral:rRNA from 1 species
GGGUUGUGAGGUUAAGCGACUAAGCGUACACGGUGGAUGCCCUGGCAGUCAGAGGCGAUGAAGGGCGUGCUAAUCUGCGAUAAGCGCCGGUAAGGUGAUAUGAACCGUUAUAACCGGCGAUACCCGAAUGGGGAAACCCAGUGUGAUUCGUCACACUAUCAUUAACUGAAUCCAUAGGUUAAUGAGGCGAACCGGGGGAACUGAAACAUCUAAGUACCCCGAGGAAAAGAAAUCAACCGAGAUUCCCCCAGUAGCGGCGAGCGAACGGGGAGGAGCCCAGAGCCUGAAUCAGCAUGUGUGUUAGUGGAAGCGUCUGGAAAGGCGCGCGAUACAGGGUGACAGCCCCGUACACAAAAGCGUAUGUGCUGUGAGCUCGAUGAGUAGGGCGGGACACGUGGUAUCCUGUCUGAAUAUGGGGGGACCAUCCUCCAAGGCUAAAUACUCCUGACUGACCGAUAGUGAACCAGUACCGUGAGGGAAAGGCGAAAAGAACCCCGGCGAGGGGAGUGAAAAAGAACCUGAAACCGUGUACGUACAAGCAGUGGGAGCACCCUUUGGGGUGUGACUGCGUACCUUUUGUAUAAUGGGUCAGCGACUUAUAUUCUGUAGCAAGGUUAACCGAAUAGGGGAGCCGGAGGGAAACCGAGUCUUAAUUGGGCGUUAAGUUGCAGGGUAUAGACCCGAAACCCGGUGAUCUAGCCAUGGGCAGGUUGAAGGUUGGGUAACACUAACUGGAGGACCGAACCGACUAAUGUUGAAAAAUUAGCGGAUGACCUGUGGCUGGGGGUGAAAGGCCAAUCAAACCGGGAGAUAGCUGGUUCUCCCCGAAAGCUAUUUAGGUAGCGCCUCGUGAAUUCAUCUCCGGGGGUAGAGCACUGUUUCGGCUAGGG